rnacentral:tRNA from 1 species
GUGAUGUAGCUCAGUGAUAGAGUGCUUGCCUAACAUGUGCAAGGCUCUGGGUUUAAUCCCCAGUACAACACA